GGGGUUGUGGCUCAGUGGUAGAGCACUCGUCUUGUGCAUGUGAGGCCCUGGGUUCAAUCCUCAGCACCA
rnacentral:tRNA from 1 species